rnacentral:rRNA from 1 species
CGUGAGUGACGAAGGCUUUCGGGUCGUAAAGCUCUGUCAAGUGGGAAGAACCUGCAGUAUGCUAAUAUCAUAUUGCACUGACGGUACCACUGAAGGAAGCACCGGCUAACUCCGUGCCAGCAGCCGCGGUAAUACGGGGGGUGCAAGCGUUAUUCGGAAUCAUUGGGCGUAAAGAGCACGUAGGCGGCUUGGUAAGUCAGAUGUGAAAGCCCGGGGCUUAACCCCGGAAGUGCAUUUGAUACUGUCAGGCUUGAGUAUGGGAGAGGGAAGUGGAAUUCCUGGUGUAGAGGUGAAAUUCGUAGAUAUCAGGAGGAACACCGGUGGCGAAGGCGACUUCCUGGACCAAUACUGACGCUGAGGUGCGAAGGCGUGGGUAGCAAACAGGAUUAGAUACCCUGGUAGUCCACGCAGUAAACGUUGUUCACUAGGUGUAGCGGGUAUUGACCCCUGCUGUGCCGCAGUUAACGCAUUAA